rnacentral:rRNA from 1 species
UACGGGGGGGGGCAAGCGUUGUUCGGAAUUACUGGGCGUAAAGGGCUCGUAGGCGGCCAACUAAGUCAGACGUGAAAUCCCUCGGCUUAACCGGGGAACUGCGUCUGAUACUGGAUGGCUUGAGGUUGGGAGAGGGAUGCGGAAUUCCAGGUGUAGCGGUGAAAUGCGUAGAUAUCUGGAGGAACACCGGUGGCGAAGGCGGCAUCCUGGACCAAUUCUGACGCUGAGGAGCGAAAGCCAGGGAGCAAACGGGG